GUACUCUCACACUCUCUGAUCCUUGGAUUUGGGGAGCGGUGGACUUGGGUGCUUGCUGCUUUCAUUGUGGCUCACCUCAAAUGUGUUAGUGCACCUCUUGGUUGGACAUAGUACGGCGUGAUAAGUGUCUUCGCCGGCACCUCGUAAGAGGGUGGCUGAUCGGGAGCUCUGUGCUUUCAAACUGUCUUCGGACACUCUCUGACA
rnacentral:misc_RNA from 1 species